AAAUUGAAGAGUUUGAUCAUGGCUCAGAUUGAACGCUGGCGGCAGGCCUAACACAUGCAAGUCGAACGGUAACAGGAAACAGCUUGCUGUUUCGCUGACGAGUGGCGGACGGGUGAGUAAUGUCUGGGAAACUGCCUGAUGGAGGGGGAUAACUACUGGAAACGGUAGCUAAUACCGCAUAACGUCGCAAGACCAAAGAGGGGGACCUUCGGGCCUCUUGCCAUCGGAUGUGCCCAGAUGGGAUUAGCUAGUAGGUGGGGUAACGGCUCACCUAGGCGACGAUCCCUAGCUGGUCUGAGAGGAUGACCAGCCACACUGGAACUGAGACACGGUCCAGACUCCUACGGGAGGCAGCAGUGGGGAAUAUUGCACAAUGGGCG
rnacentral:rRNA from 3 species